rnacentral:lncRNA from 1 species
UGCCUCCCCAGGGCACUAGUAAAUCAUAUAUUCAUUCCACUUGCAAUGUUUGUGACUGGAUGAAUAGAUAUAUUAAUGUAUGGAUCUCCAGGAGCAGAUCGUUGAAGGUGAUAGUGAAUAAUGUGGGGUCAAAAAGGAAAAGGUAAAGCCAGAUAACAUUUACUUCAGAAUAAACUCAUUUUUGAGAGCCCAUAAUAAUUCCUAAUAAGAGGCAGCCCCAAAAAGCCCACUGAGCCAGUUAUUGAGUUGCAGGGAAGUGGUUCCUGUAUAAUCCAGGUGAAAAGAACAGGAUAUCUGGGACCUGCAUGUAAUAACACCAACUGAUUUUAAGCAAGAUUUGAGGUAAAAUCGAAUUGGUCUUUGGAAAGCUGAGACAUCAGGAGUGCAAGAGCAGCUUGAGCAACAUGGUGGAAUCCCAUCUCUACUAAAAAUACCGAAAUUAGCCCAGCAUAGAGGCAUGUGCUUGUAGUCCCAGUUACUUGGGAGGCUGAGAUGGGAGGAUAGCUUGAGCCUGGAAGGUCAAGGCUUCAUCAAGCCUGCAAUGAGUCAUGAUCUGACUACUGCACUCCAGCCUGGGGAACAGAGUGAGACCCUACCGCAAAAUGAAAACAAACAAACAACAACAAAAACAAAAACAGAGAAAAGAAAAGAAGAAAAAAAAUCUAAUUUGAUAUUGAAUGGAAAGUUGGUGUGUAAGCAAAAAGGAACAGAAGCCGUCAGUAAAGCAGGGCAUAAAUGUGCUCUUAGCAAACCAAAAGCAAUUCUCAUGGGUCAGUUGCGGAAGAACUUGCAAGGAAUUUGGAAUCAGAAGACAGAAAUUCAUUCUUGGCUCUGCCACUCACAUGUGAUCUUCUACUUGUUAGCUAAAUUUCUAGUGCCUAAAGCAGCCAGAUAACCCUCAAUGAGCCCUUGUGUCAUCCCUUUCCUCCCAGGAUAAGGUUUCACCUUUGUGGCCAAUAGUGCAUGGCAGAAAUAAUGUGCUGACACUUGUAAGAUUAGGUGAUAAAAACAGGCUUCUGUUAGAGGCAUGUAUUCCUUCUCUCUUACUCACUUUAGGGGAAGUCAGCUGCCUUGUCUUGAGGAUACUCAGGCAACUCUGUAGAGAAGCUUAUGUGGCAAGAAACCGAAAGUUUCAGAGAACAAGGAAAUGAGGACUCCAGCCAUUUGCUUCUCGGAAGCAAAGACUGAAUUUCCAACCAGUGCUUUACAUGAUGAUGCAGUGAUCAAAACAUCAUGAGUAACUGAACAAAAACCAUCCAGCGAUGCCAUUCUGGGAUUCCUGACACUCGGAAGUUGUAAAAUACACAUGAAUAAAUAUUUCUUACACAGUACCUCUCUUGUACAGCCUCAUCUCUAAAAAUAAGAAUAAUGGUUUCUUCACAGAGUCUUGGAGGGUUCAAAAGAGAGCAAGUUGCAAACUAUAAAGUAUCAGUACAAAUGCUAAUUACUAAAUGUAUUUCACAAGUCCAUUUACCACCUUCAGGUUUCCUGGGUGCUCUAAGAUUUCCCUUAUUUCUCCUUAAUAAAUCACCAAGAGUUACU